rnacentral:rRNA from 1 species
AACGAACGCUGGCGGCAGGCUUAACACAUGCAAGUCGAGCGCCCCGCAAGGGGAGCGGCAGACGGGUGAGUAACGCGUGGGAAUCUACCCAUCACUACGGAACAACUCCGGGAAACUAGAGCUAAUACCGUAUACGUCCUUCGGGAGAAAGAUUUGUCGGUGAUGGAUGAGCCCGCGUUGGAUUAGCUAGUUGGUGGGGUAAUGGCCUACCAAGGCGACGAUCCAUAGCUGGUCUGAGAGGAUGAUCAGCCACACUGGGACUGAGACACGGCCCAGACUCCUACGGGAGGCAGCAGUGGGGAAUAUUGGACAAUGGGCGAAAGCCUGAUCCAGCCAUGCCGCGUGAGUGAUGACGGCCCUAGGGUUGUAAAGCUCUUUCGCAGGUGAAGAUAAUGACGGUAACCUGAGAAGAAGCCCCGGCUAACUUCGUGCCAGCCGCCGCAGUAAUAC